GGAGGUUUGCAGCGCAGCCUGGGUGAAUGGCCUGCUUGUGUUGAGGGAUGGGGGAGGAGGAGGGUGCAGGUGUAGGGAGGCCUCCAACGCCAGCCCCACCCCCACCCCCAAAGCAUCCACUUAGUUGCCAAGAACUAGUAAAGGAAGCUAUCGUCAAGCUGGAAGCCCAUUCAGCCCCAAUCCCAGACCCAGCCAGCUGCCGAGCUCUCUCCUCAGCAGAGGAGUCUCCCUGCUUCCCUCUUUUCUGAGCUGCUUCUGCUUUGGGAAGGGAGGGAGGAUGGGGAAGGCCACAGACCAUCCUCUCCAAGGCUGAAAAUCAGCUCCUGAGGGGCUAUUUUCGAAUGUAUUUAAUGCUCCAGUACACAGGCAGGCUGCAGAGCCAUUCCUCUCUCCCUGGCCUUAGCGCUGAGACUGGAAAACCUGCUGGAGAGUCUCAGGGCCGUCUAGUGGUGCUGAAGGGAGGGAUCGUGCUGAAGACAGAGCCAGUGAAAGCUGCCACCGACCUAGCCCCGCAUCUGCUAGACCCUAACUUCAGGAACGUCUUCCUCCUGCCUCUUCCACAGAGGAGGGGAAAGGCAUGUUGUGGUUCCAGAACGUAUCACUGCCAUACAGUAAAGGCUUCGGGGAAGACAAAACAGAAGAAAACAAAAAGGAUUGGAAGAACCAGUUUCUGUUCUUGAGACUUACAGAAUGGUAGAGCUGCGAGGGACCUUCUCGAUCACUUCAUCACCUGUUCGGUCUACUCAUUUCACAGAGAGAACAUGAUGGUUCAGAAGAUGACAGAGAUCAGUACCUACAAGAUCAGCACCUCUCCUGAGUCUGGAAAUGAAAGAGUGAAAAUCCUCUGGUCACAAUGGUAAUAAACAAAUGGAAUGGAUCCCCUAUGCAAUAAGCAAAAUGGCAUGGACUUGGACAUGUGAAACAUGUGUUUUUAAACCCAUGAAGAUACCGAAGCAACUUUUAUCUUAUUAAGUAGGGCUUUAGCUCAAGGACAGGUUUAGGGCAACUAUGUGGACUAAGUACCUUCUCUCAUAUUUUAGUUCUCUUAGACCAACAUGCAUUGACCAUAACUGGAUUGAAAUUAAGUCACUUUACAUUUUUUUUCUUUCCCAUUUCUCCCCAUGUUUCUCCCCACCCAUAUCAGCUGCAGCCAUUUCUACAGCCAAAACAUCCCCCAAAUUAAAUUACACUCAUGGCAUAGAAUAACAAUCCAAGCUUCCUUUUGUACGCCAGUCAGAACCUCUUCACAUAAGUACAGCUCAAAAGAGGUAUGAGCAAUGCUCUAAGAUAACGUCUUGGAAUCACAAUUGGUCCACUGUGCCUAAACCCCAUAUGGAAGUCACCACACGCCCCCUGACAUUUCUCACCAAGGAGGGGGAAGAUGGUAAAGAGGAUAGGGUCUCUCUGAAAUGAAAUUCACCAACUUUAGUCUGACACAGUUUAUUCUUAAAGUGACUAAAAGAAUACAAUAACUUCUCAGUCAAACAACAUAAAAUAAAUAAGUAUAAAUACCAAGCUAGGAAGACAGGAAUAAAGACGCAGACGUAGAGAAUGGAC